GACGAACGCUGGCGGCGUGCUUAACACAUGCAAGUCGAACGGAGUGGCGAACGGGUGAGUAACACGUGGGUGAUCGGCCUUGCACUUCGGGAUAAGCUUGGGAAACUGGGUCUAAUACCGGAUAGUGCAAGCUUAGCUCGCGGCCUAUCCGCUUGUUGGUGGGGUAAUGGCCUACCAAGGCGUCGACGGGUAGCUGGCCUGAGAGGGUGCACGGCCACCUUGGGACUGAGAUACAGCCCCGACUCCGACGGGAGGCAGCAGUGAGGAAUAUUGCACCACGGGCGGAAGCCUGAUGCAGCGACGCCGCGUGGGGGAUGAAGGCCUUCGGGUUGUAAACUCCUUUCGACAGGGACGCGGUACCUGUAUAAGAAGCACCGGCUAACUACGUGCCAGCCGCCGCGGUAAUAC
rnacentral:rRNA from 1 species